GACGAACGCUGGCGGCGUGCUUAACACAUGCAAGUCGAACGCUGAAGCUCAGCUUUUGUUGGGUGGAUGAGUGGCGAACGGGUGAGUAACACGUGAGUAACCUGCCUCCUUCUUUGGGAUAACGCCCGGAAGCGGGUGCUAAUACUGGAUAUUCACUGGUCUUCGCAUGGGGGUUGGUGGAAAGGGUUUUUCUGGUGGGGGAUGGGCUCGCGGCCUAUCAGCUUGUUGGUGGGGUGAUGGCCUACCAAGGCUUUGACGGGUAGCCGGCCUGAGAGGGUGACCGGUCACAUUGGGACUGAGAUACGGCCCAGACUCCUACGGGAGGCAGCAGUGGGGAAUAUUGCACAAUGGGCGCAAGCCUGAUGCAGCGGCGCCGCGUGAGGGAUGGGGGCCUUCGGGUUGUGAACCUCUUUCGCUCAUGGUCAAGCCGCAACAAUGGUUGUGGUGAGGGUAGUGGGUAAAGAAGCGCCGGCUAACUACGUG
rnacentral:rRNA from 1 species